CAAAAUGUAGCGCACAUUUCUCAGCAACAUUAGAAGCAGGAUAAAUGUGUUGAUUUGAAGGACAGACUGACAGACUGGUAAGUCAGAACAAAUUCUUAUUAACAAUGACGGCCUACCCCGGCCAAACCUUGACGACGCUGGGCCAAUUGUGCGCCGCCCUAUGGGACUCCCAACCAUGCAGCCUGGACUCUAACCAGGUACUGCAGUGACGCAAGAGGCGGGACUCUGCACCACUCGGGAGGUGGCUGAGCUGAAACAGAAAGUAAAGUUGUUCUUUUGUUCAGGAUCCAUUUUGAGACGACAGAGCAGAAAACACUAUAUGGAGACUAUUGAAAAAUAAAUAAGUAUUUCUGAACAAUAAUUCAUUCUAAAGGACAGAGUAAGAUAAUGAAUAUCUGUAAUGAGAUGUUACUAGUUAGUAGAACUGCUACUUGAGCUGAGUUGCUGACAGACAGCAGUUUUCAAAGUGGAAACUAAUCAGUAGGUCUACAUGUUAUCAGUAAAACGUCUGGUAAAGAUGGCGGAGGAGCUUUUACAUUAUAUGGUUUAAUGUUUAUCUCAGGGUUUCUCAUCCUGUUGUUCUGACCAGCACUUACACACCUGAUUCAACUAAUCAUCAAAUAUUUUAAGACAGUUUAAUAUUUGAGGCCAACAAAUGAAGAUUCUCAAAUUAAAACCUUUGGGGUUUGUAGGCCUGUUUAAAAUGAUUAUAGGCCUACAUGAAUUCACAGUUGAGGGUAAAAACACAACUAAACCGGGUUUCCAGUCAAUUAUAUGUUUAUCUAAAAUAUCGUAAGCGAGAUGUCUUGAAGAAGGACUUAAUAAAAGAGGACUGACGUCAUGUGGUUCUGUUUCCCUCAG
rnacentral:lncRNA from 1 species